GACGAACGCUGGCGGCGUGCUUAACACAUGCAAGUCGAACGGAAAGGCCCUGCUUGCAGGGUACUCGGGUGGCGAACGGGUGAGUAACACGUGGGUGAUCUGCCCUGCACUUCGGGAUAAGCUUGGGAAACUGGGUCUAAUACCGGAUAGGAGCCAUCUUUAGUGUGGUGGUUGGAAAGUUUUUUCGGUGUAGGAUGAGCUCGCGGCCUAUCAGCUUGUUGGUGGGGUAAUGGCCUACCAAGGCGGCGACGGGUAGCCGGCCUGAGAGGGUGUACGGCCACAUUGGGACUGAGAUACGGCCCAGACUCCUACGGGAGGCAGCAGUGGGGAAUAUUGCACAAUGGGCGCAAGCCUGAUGCAGCGACGCCGCGUGGGGGAUGAAGGCCUUCGGGUUGUAAACUCCUUUCGCUAGGGACGAAGCUUUGUGUGACGGUACCUAGAUAAGAAGCACCGGCUAACUACGUG
rnacentral:rRNA from 1 species